rnacentral:rRNA from 1 species
UACGUAGGGUGCGAGCGUUGUCCGGAAUUAUUGGGCGUAAAGGGCUCGUAGGCGGUCUGUCGCGUCGGGAGUGAAAACUCAGGGCUUAACCCUGAGCCUGCUUCCGAUACGGGCAGACUAGAGGUAUGCAGGGGAGAACGGAAUUCCUGGUGUAGCGGUGAAAUGCGCAGAUAUCAGGAGGAACACCGGUGGCGAAGGCGGUUCUCUGGGCAUUACCUGACGCUGAGGAGCGAAAAUGUGGGGAGCGAACAGG